GCUUCUUCAGGAACCUCUACAAGAUCUGAAGUCUGGAAAAGAGGGAACAACAUGGAAUGAGCAAUGUCAUUUCUGGCCAAAUAAGCAGAGAUCAUGACACCAGUAGAAAAACUAAGAUUUAUUUCAGCUAUUCUUCCUUUCAUGACACAUCAGAAAGAAGAAAAAAAUAUCAAAGGGUCUCCAAAACACUUGCAUCCUGCUCCUCUGAAGCUCACUAUUUCUGAACAAAAGUUGCUACUAUUAUGUUAAUUUAAUCUCCUGAAACAGAAGAUCAUCCCUAUAUUAGCCAACUAACUCUGAGAAAGCUUUUGAAUUUGGUUUCUGCUGGCCUUCCUAAAGCCAUCAAGGCUUUUAUGCUCUAGAACAUUUGAAAGCACAUGAGAGGAAACACAACAGUAUUUAGAAGCGGCCGGGCAGUGACUUCCUGACAAUGUAAAGCAAAUGCCUCUACAGCCCUGGAAGAAAAUAAACCUGUGGGACAGAGCCUUGCUAUGUGGUAAUAUAUUUGCUUUAGGACAUAACAAUACUGCGAGAAUGGCAAGAGGCUGGAUGGAGUUCAUUACCACUGACCCUGCAGGAAGGAAGCAAAACCAUUUUAAAGUAGUAAUCAAUUGUUUCUGUUUGUUUCCACUGAGGCAAGUUGGACUCUGGGGAAAGAAUAAAGUGACAUAUUUAAGCACAA